AUAUGCCAUCUUUUGUGACUGGCUUCUUUCACUUUUUCAUUGUUUAACAUAAUAUUUUCAAAGUUCAUCUGUGUUGUGGCAUGUAUCAGUACUUCAUUCCAUCUUUUUUUUUUUUUUAAUUUAAAAGACAGGUUCUUUCUACGUUGCCCAAGCUGGAGUGCAGUGGCCAUUCAACAGGUGGGAUCAUAGCACACCGCAGCCUCAAAUUCCUGGGCUCCAGCGAUCCUCCCAUCUCAGCCUCCCAAGUAGCUGGGGCUAUAGGCAUGUGCCACCACACCCAGCUAUUCCUUCUUAUAGCCAAAUAAUAUUCCAUUGUAUGGAUCAUUUUUUUUCUUUUCUUUUCUUUUUUUUCUGAGAUGGAGUCUCACUCUGUUGCCCAGACGAGUGCAGUGGCACAAUCUUGGCUCACUGCAACCUUCACCUCCUGGUUCAAGCAAUUCUCCUGCCUCAGCCUCCCAAAGUGGAGGAAGAAGAGAAUCACCACAUAUCGUAUUUAGAGGUCCUGCAGAAAGGGCAGAGCGAGUUUCAUGUUUGAGUGCAGCGGAUGCAUGGGCAAAGCAUUACACAGCCGCUCCAUGGAAGUGACAAUGAGCCUUGUCUUUCACACGUAACUCCAGGAACCAGGGGAAACAAAACCAAUUCCACCCAGAGGUACAGACAAAGAAGAGCACCCUCCCAAAGGAGCCCGCAUGAUAAGUGGCCACGGCGAACAUCACUGUGAUCAGUCAGAAAGGCAGGCGAGUUAUUAGCUUAGCCCUGAACCUCCUACUUAAUGUAGAACCAGUGGUGAUGGUUAACAGACCCUGGCUGCAGUGACAAGCCUGGGACCUGCUCGAGGAAAUCCAAUUGAAAAGCAGCCAAGAGGAACAACAAGCUAGAAACAGAUGUUCCAGCUACCAGGAUGUGCACGCAUUUAACCUGAACAUGUAGUUGGGGUGGGAUGGUAGCAUUCGUUUCUAAAUAUAGUGAUUUCACUUCUUCCCCCAUAUAGAUAUUGUCAAGUUUAAUUAUAGCCAUCCACAUUAGUUUUGUCAAAUUUUCAGCAAUUUCUUUAAAAUAAGAAGAUGUCAGAAUGAUAACUGCUAUUAAGGGAAUUCAGGGUGUUUGGUUUAUCUACCCAGUCUUACUAAAACAUUUCAGUUAAAUCAUCCACUCUUAAACUCCAGUCUCAUAGCAAUUAAAAAUUAUCUUUUAAAAAAUUGCCCAAAUGAAA
rnacentral:lncRNA from 1 species